AAAGUCGUAACAAGGUUUCCGUAGGUGAACCUGCGGAAGGAUCAUUAACAAGCCCGUGAAGGUCGCUCUGAGCGAUCUCUCACCAGGCCACCCUUGUUUACUUUUUACCUGUUGCUUUGGUGGGCCUUGCCUGUAAGGCUGCCGGGGAACUUGAGGUUCCUGGGCUCGUGCUCACCAAAGUCCUACCGAACUCUGAAAAUUUUUAAUGUUGUCUAAGCGUUAAAAGCGCAAAAAGGUUUUAUUAAAACUUUCAACAACGGAUCUCUUGGUUCCG
rnacentral:misc_RNA from 1 species